GUAGGUGGCAAGCGUUGUCCGGAAUUAUUGGGCGUAAAGCGCGCGCAGGCGGUUCUUUAAGUCUGAUGUGAAAGCCCACGGCUCAACCGUGGAGGGUCAUUGGAAACUGGAGAACUUGAGUACAGAAGAGGAAAGCGGAAUUCCACGUGUAGCGGUGAAAUGCGUAGAGAUGUGGAGGAACACCAGUGGCGAAGGCGGCUGUCUGGUCUGUAACUGACGCUGAGGCGCGAAAGCGUGGGGGAGCAAACAGGAUUAGAUACCCUGGUAGUCCACGCCGUAAACGAUGAGUGCUAAGUGUUAGGGGGUUUUCCGCCCCUUAGUGCUGCAGCUAACGCAUUAAGCACUCCGCCCUGGGAGUACGGCCGCAAGGCUG
rnacentral:rRNA from 1 species